CGAACGAUCCUUCGGACUACUGGCUGACGGGUGAUUAACGCGUGGGAAUCUACGUUUUGGUACGGAAUAGCUCCGGGAAACUGGAAUUAAUACCGUAUGUGUCCUUCGGGAGAAAGAUUUAUCGCCAAAAGAUGAGCCCGCGUUUGAUUACGUAAUUGGAGGGGUAAAGGCCUAACAAGCCGACUAUCGAUAUCUGGUCUGAGAGGAUGAACAACCACAUUGGGACUGAAACACAGCCCAAACUCCUACGGGAGGCAGCAGUGGGGAAUAUUGGACAAUGGGCGCAAGCCUGAUACAUCCGUGCCGCGUGAGAGAUGAAGGCCCUACGGUUGUAAAUCUCUUUCGCCGGUGAACAUAAUGACUGUAACCUGUAAAAAAACCCAGGCUAACUUCGUGCCAACAUCCGCGGUAAUACGAAAGGGGCUAACGUUGUUCCGAAUUACUGGGCGUAAAGCGCACCUAUGCGGACAUUUGAGUCAGGGGUGAAAUCACAUAGCUCAACUCAGGAACUGCCUUUGAUACUGGAUGUCUUGAGUAUGGAAGAGGUAACUGGAAUUGCGAGUGUAGAGGUGAAAUUCGUAGAUAUUCUGUGGAACACCAAUGUGCGAAUUGCGGCUUACUGGUCCAUUACUGACGCUGAGGUGCGAAAGCGUGAUGAGCAAACGCGAUUAGAUACCCUGGUAGUCCACUCAUGCACGAUGAUAGCUAGAGCGUCGGGUUGUAUGCACUCGGUGGCGCACUUAACGCAUUAUGCUAUCUACCUGGUGAGUACGGUCGCAAGAUUAAAACUCAAAUGAAUUGACAGGUUGCCCGCACUAGGCGAGUGGAGC
rnacentral:rRNA from 1 species